GCCCUUCCUACGGGAGGCAGCAGGGGGGAAUAUUCCGCAAUGGACGAAAGUCUGACGGAGCAACGCCGCGUGAGUGAAGAAGGUUUUCGGAUCGUAAAGCUCUUUCGUCAGGGACGAACGUAUUUCUUGUAAAUAAUGAGAGAUAGUGACGGUACCUGAGUAAGAAGCCACGGCUAACUACGUGCCAGCAGCCGCGGUAAUACGUAGGUGGCAAGCGUUGUCCGGAAUUAUUGGGCGUAAAGCGCGCGCAGGCGGGAUAUCAAGUCUGUCUUAAAAGUGCGAGGCUCAACCUCGUGAGGGGACGGAAACUGGUAUUCUUGAGUGUCGGAGAGGAAAGUGGAAUUCCAAGUGUAGCGGUGAAAUGCGUAGAGAUUUGGAAGAACACCAGUGGCGAAGGCGACUUUCUGGACGAUGUCUGACGCUGAGGCGCAAAAGCUAGGGGAGCGAACGGGAUUAGAUACCCCGGUAGUCCUAGCCGUAAACGAUGGGUACUAGGUGUAGGGGGUAUCGACCCCUCCUGUGCCGGAGUUAACGCAAUAAGUACCACGCCUGGGGAGUACGGCCGCAAGGUUAAACUCAAAGGAAUUGACGGAAGGGC
rnacentral:rRNA from 1 species